GAAAAGCAUUGUAUCACAUUGUCCAGAUUGCUGCGAACUUGUCGAUGACAGAGGCCGGAAUGUUCUGCAUUUUGCUGUGGAGAGCUAUAGAUCCAAAGGGUUGCGUGCUCUUCUUCAAAAUUCAUUCAUGUCCAAUCUCAUAAAUCAGAAAGAUAAUGAAGGGAACACACCUCUCCACCUUCUUGCUGCUCUUCGGUUCAACUGUAAAACUCUGAUAUGGCAUCCCCUUGUUGAUAUGAAAGCUCUUAAUAAGCAGAACUUGACUGCUCUGGACAUUGUUUUGGCCACAACUGACAAUGUGAAAGUUCGUUUAACAAGGCGAGGUACAAUAAUAAACUUGAGAAGGGCUGGAUGUAAACGAAGUCGUCGAAACAAGAUCAUCCAAGAAGAUAACUCAAAGUCAAUGGAAAGAGUUGAGGGCAUGAUCUCUGAACUCAAGAAAGCCAAAGCCCCCCACCUGAUAGUAGCCACACUCAUUGCAACAGUAACUUUCGCAGCCGGUUUCACAAUUCCUGGUGGAUACAUUUCUGAUAAAGGGACUGCAGUAUUAUCAAAAAAAGCAGCAUUUCAAGUGUUUCUUCUAUCAAAUGGAUUUGCACUUGUGUUCUCCACUUCUGUUGUGCUUAUCCAGUUCAUGUUGGCAAUGCAAGGAAAUAAGAGAAAGUUCUUUCAGUUGUUUUCCUGUGCUUCUUGGUUGACCAUCAUCGCUAC
rnacentral:misc_RNA from 1 species